UGUUAAUGUAGACGUACUCUCUAAAGGUUUCAAGAUAAAACCAAGCCAUUUUCCGGAUUUUGUUAAACAGUUUAUUGGAUCUACUGAUUUUGUUCUAGACAUUAAGCUGCCAAGUAUUGAUGUUUGUAUAUCCAAUACGGACUCUGCAUUUGAAAGUGAAUCUAUAGAUUCGCCAUCAACAGAACAUUUCGCAGCUGCUCAUCAAGCAAUAUCGUGCAUUGGAGAAGAAACAUUUUUAAAUUCCUCCCAAGACAUAAUUGUUUUCACCAGUGUGGACAUUUGCAAAGUCUUCCAUCAAAGCAGGAAAUUAGCGCCAUCCCUGAUAUUAACCAAUUCUUAAAUGUUAAAACAUUGGAAAAUAAGGACCGCAUUAAAAUUGCAAAGGCUUUAAUGGAAUUUAUUCUAAAUAAAACCCCAAACAGACAGUAUGUAUGUAUGUAUGUUUCUGUAUC